CUAUAAAACCAUCUAUUAUAUUAUAUCACCGCGCCUUGUGUAAAGAAAUGUUGGUGCUUGCAUAUGUAGGGUGUGGAAAAAUUAGCUCAGCGGUCAUUGCCCUUGCGGCUGACCAUACACCUAUGCGCACUUAAAUAGACCCACCUGACCGUAUGUCACCUAUUCUCUCCUUCUCUCAGGUUAUUAAAAUUGUUCGAUGCCGACAUUCUAAAAGCCACUUAAGGGAAGAAAAGUAAAUCACAAAAAUCUAGAAAAAAAAACUUAAUGAAAAAUUAUGAAUAGAAGAAAAAAAAAUAGAAAAGAAAAUUGUUCAAUAAUAUUAAAUAUUCCUAGACAUUAACUUAGAAAUAGAAGAAGAAAAACAUGAAAUUUAUGCGUAGUUAAUAAUAGAUUCUAAAAGGGUGCCUGAUCGGUCUCAUUGUGUCCAUGGAAGGGUAUUGGUAAAAUACCUCUUCAUAACGCUUCUUGUUAUUUUGCAUAUUUCUACAUUUCUUUAACAGUUAGAACGUGAAAUUGGGCCCAACGACACCAACAGCUGUUUAAAAGUCUGUAAGUAGACACACAUAUAUACACAUACACUCCGGGUCAGGAGAAUAGCGUCUACACAGUGAGACAUGCAUGCUUAACCAUAUAUAAAAUGAAUUAUUAUUAACUAUGAUCACUACAAUUAUGCCAUUUAAUUCAUUUAAUUAAUUAAUUCUUACUUUAUAUUUUGAUUAUAUUAUUUUUAUUCAUAUUUGAUCAUUCUCUUGAAUUCCUAUGUAUUAAAUUAGUCCCUCAUAUAUACACAUGCAGUAAAAAUAGUUUAAGGGUUAGGGUAGAAAUAAUGGGGGUUACAAACAACCUGAAGUCAUACAAGUCAAAGUAAAAUUAUAACGAUUUAACAUGAAUUUCUAAUCUGAUUUUUGGGAGGGGUUCCUAAGGCACAUAGGCAGCAGCGGCAGGUUUUGGGUAGAACCGUAAUGGCAUAUUCUUAUGUUAUUCUACAUUUAGGGUGGGUCAAGAGGGAAAAGCACAACCACCUUGCUCUUCACAGUAGGUAGUGGACCUUAAGUUCCGUUCGGGUUUGUAAUUCCGAUCCCAGUUCCCGUAAAUCUGUCUACGAUUUUGUUAGGUGACGGAGUUCGUUUUCGCAGCACAACACCCACCCCAUUUUCCCUGAGCCUAGCCGGCCAACCUUUAGUAGACAGAGAGUGUUGACGAGACGACACUUCCCGUGUCCGUUACAAGGUACUGAUUAACACAGAGGCACAGAAACAGAAUGCUAAUUUCGGAAGUCCAAAAUCUCAUGCUUACGAUCCCAUUUGCCACAGCGAAUAUACAAAGAUCUUUUUUUUUUCUCUCUCUUUAUAUUUACAAUCUGUUUUUUUAAACAAUAAGUAAAUUGUAUACAAAUACAAAGAUCUAAAAUCUAUUUUUACCGAACAGCUCACAGAGGUCCCAGUAGCUAAUUUGUAUCAAAUAUAAGAAUUUGUCAUUAUAACAUUAUUAUUCAUAUUUUAGUAGAAUACUCCCAGGUUAAGAUUAUCUGUAGGAAGGUCCUAAUGUUCCGGUAGCGCAUAACAACACCGUGCUACAAAUGCACGACAAUUUCGUGGCGGAAAGCGACGAGGGGAUCCUAGCCGUCAGCGGGUGCGCCACAACGAACUCCGUUACGUUUUGCAAGAAAGCAACGCACGACACCUGCGCUCGCGAAGUACACGCCGGCGGCUCUGCUUCAUGCCGCACACAACCCAGCCAACUGGCCAUCACCAUCCUGUUUGCCCAUCCAUAAAUGGGCAGCAAGCAACGAUCAGCGUUGACAAUGGACCCCUAAUGACGACAAGAGGGGCCAACCUUAUCACGUUCGAAGAAAGAACCGUGAUCAACAGCACCCUGUUCUUAAAACUCAACAAAGCAUUGAGGAAAGUUCCAGGCAUCGUAGCUUCGCCUUUGCUGUCCAUAAAGGGGCACGAUGAAGUCCUAACCCUACCAAUACUACAAUCGAUGAAGGAGCACAAUCUAAGGGUCAUCCAAGAACUUAGAAGCGACAUGACAUCUGGUGGGUCUCCCAAGACCUGGUUGAUUGCAGGAGUGGCGGUUAGCCUCAUGCUCCGUGGCCUUAUCCUGUUGCAUCAAUGCUAGAGUCGGAAAAACUCCUCAAUAAAGUUGAAAAAGGUCAUCAGAGAGAUGGGUAUCGCCGAGGACGGAGAUGAUUUAAGGAGGGAGUAGUUAACACAUAAGCAAUAACAUGUAAGAAAAUAAGUACGAUUGUUCAUGUGCCACCCUAACUUAGCGCAUAAGAAAUACAAAUUAUCAUGGGCCGCCUUAACUUAUCCAGUCUGAUACUGAGGGCGCCGAUGCAGUAGAUCCCGUUGCAGCGGGCGGCUCUCUUAUCUGAUUGGGCGCCAGCGAUCGCCUGAUUUUGUUUUGUGCGCGGGCGGCUCUUAUCUCUUUUGUGCGCUGCCGGCUCGCCAGCUAAGUUUCGGGUUAGGUUUAGAAGUAAGCUUCAGUUUAGAAUUGGAAGAAUAAAUGAACUUCAUAUCACUUGUUAAGCCUUUAAGGGGCCAACGAAAUAGAGGGCAGUUACCCUCUCAACAUAAUCUUCGGUAGAAGACUCAGUUGCCAACCGCAACCACCUUCCCCCGCUACAAGAGCGGGCCACGGGAACCCGAUCGCUGCCGCCGGAGCUAACGCAACGCAUACCGCAGCUCGGACCAUUACCACAUAAAGAUAAUUUAUAUGAGCAAGUGACAUAAAUAGAAUGGCCGGGAAGAAUCAGUCUAACACAGACGAAUUUCAGGUCUUGUGAGACCUGGACUAUGAAAAGUUUUGACGUAAAGUAAGAGUUUACUGCAAUCAGAAUCCCUCCUCCACGUCGAGACUAACGAUCAUUCCUAUAAAUUGUGCACCGAUCUGCCAAAACUUCGGAUCUAAGAAUGUCCGGCCCACGAGGCCUGAAAACCCAAUACAUUUUGCGUGCACUACGUUAUCGCAGAGCCAGCAAGGGAUGCUCGGCUGGUCAUGGGUGAUCUGCUUCUUGCAAGCCUUAGCGGAACACACAACCACGUAUUCCA
rnacentral:lncRNA from 1 species